CUGCAAGUAAUGUUUUGCCUUUUUCUAAUGAGCAUGGCUGUUUUUCUCCAGGAUUUACCAGGUUGCAGUGUUAUCAUGCAAACUAUGGGACGGGACAAGAGACUGGAGUAUGCUGCAUCAUUUGAGAAUUGCUACUCUUCCGGCUUCUCUAUUAUGCAGGAACUUAAUACCGAAUUAUGGGUGCUCUGAGAAUCAAUCAAGAUUUGGCUUCGGGGUUGGCCCAUCCUUACCACCAGAGGUCUUGCCUUUUCUGCUCUCUCCAUCCCCUUGCCCAGCCAAAGAAGAAGGACAACGCAGAAGAAUUGCGAAGCUUUCUCAGAAUGAAAAUUCUGCGUGGAAGUAAGGAUUUUCUUCUGGAUGCAUGAAAAAAAUGAUUCUCGAUGGUGUGCAAAACCAUCAAUGAUGUAGAUGUCAAGACAUCUGUACUCUCCGGAAAUUGUUUGUCUGUUCUUUCAAGGAGAUUGUUGGCUAACUUCAAAGGUGAGAACCUUCGAAUAUCGGCAAGGUUUAA